CCCACGCUGGUUUUCAAAUGUCGGGUUUUUGCCGCGGCGUAGAUUCAGUGAUAAUUGUGGAAAUUUAUUAGUUUCACUGUAAAUUGGGUGGGGUUAUCGAAAAAUUUUGAUAUUGGACCUAGAUCUUUACCGUAAUUCCUCUUGGUUCGUAAGUAUUUGUGGCGGACUGUCAGGAUGAUCAAACGGCGUGCCGGAUUGAUCGCGUCGGGGGCACAACUGAGAGCUGUGUAAAUCGCCACGCUUCUCCGGUCGGCGGUGGUAUCAGCUGCAUCCAUGGCGGCUGGAAACUAAAGCUUGGUAUACCGGACGCUAGGUGGCGAGCGAGUGCUUAGCUUGUCUGCGUGGUGGCACUGGCAACGGAACGCACAGGGCCGACGUUAGAGAUGUAGGUGGCGCUGGCAGCGUGUCGUUCUGACCAGGGAUCACUCCGCAAGUGGAAUUGACGCUUGUGCAUGCCCAAGUGGCCCUUCCCUUUCGUGCUGGUGAAAACCCGAGCUAACCGCAUCGAACUGAGGUCUAAUUAUGAACGUUACUGAGUUCGUUGCACGAACCCCUUUGUCGUGGUUGAAUAAUUUUAAGGUCGUGCCGCGCGUUCAGGGGCCUGGGAAGGCGAUACUUAAACUUGAUAAGACAAACAUGAUUUAGAAUGUUGAUUACUACGGAGUGGGAAACCCUAUCACUUGUCCUGUAACCUAUUCUUGUUAGAGAAAUCCUGCAUUAACACGUAUUGAACGGUUUGUAAUACGUAUUGAACAGUUCGAUGUAAAUGUGACCAC